rnacentral:rRNA from 1 species
UACAGAGGGUGCGAGCGUUGUUCGGAAUUACUGGGCGUAAAGGGCGCGUAGGCGGCUUUUCAAGUGACGGGUGAAAUCCCUCGGCUUAACCGAGGAACUGCCUGUCAGACUGGAAGGCUUGAGACCGGGAGAGGUGAGUGGAAUUCCCAGUGUAGCGGUGAAAUGCGUAGAUAUUGGGAGGAACACCAGUGGCGAAGGCGGCUCACUGGACCGGAACUGACGCUGAGGCGCGAAAGCGUGGGGAGCAAACAGG